GGUCUCAAACUCCUAAACUCAAGCGAUCCACCCCCGCCUGGGCCUCCCAAAGUGCUGGGAUUACAGGUGUGAGUUGCCCCACCCAGCCGUGAUUAAUUUGGGCUUUCAACACCCUAAAAUGGGAGAAGGUGGUAGCAUAGAGUGUGUAUGACUGAUUGUAUUUACAUUUGUUGCAAUUUGAAGAAAUGUAGUUAGAAGUCCAUCUGCAGAGAGAUUAUGACCAUCGCUUCUGUCUGACCAAGGUCUGUUUUCCUGAUCGGUUGGAUGCCUCAGCGUGCAUUCCCAGGACUUUAUGAGAUGAUCCACUGAAGGAUUUCAGCAAGAACAUUCUGGAGUGUCAACUGAUACGUUUUUCAGUCUCAGCUUGCUCACUGUUUGAGUAGUGUCACAUGUACAUGCGUGUUAUUAGAGGCGAAUGCACGUUUUUGUUACUGAGAGAGUGGCCCUAGAGCAGAUGCCAGCGAACUGCAGCCCACAGCCCGAAUCUAGCCUGCCGCCUCUUUUCAUGUGGCUCACAAGCUAGUCAUAGUAUUAUAUUUUAAUAGUGUGGGAAAACAUCAGAAGAAGAACAAUAUUUUGUGGAACAUGAAAAUUAUAUGUUUACAUUUUAGCAUCCAUAAACGUGGUUUCAUUAGAACACACUUCUAUGGUUUGAAUGUCCUCUCCAAAACUCAUGUUGAAACUUAGUCUCUAACGUCACUAUAUUAAGAGAUAGGGCCUUUAAGAAGUGAUGGGGGCAUGGGAACUCUGCCCUCAUGAAUGGAUUAAUCUAUUCAUGGAUUAAUGGAUUAAUGCAUUAAUGGAUUGGUGGUUUAUCAUCGCAAGGAAACUGGCAGUUUUGUAAGAAGAGGAAGGGAGACAGUGGCAGGGAAACUGGCGGCUUUGUAGCAAGAGGAAGUGAGACUUGAGUCCUCUCACCACAGGUUGCCCUGCACCAACCACCACAGGACUCUGUAGAGAGUCCUGGCUAGCAAGAGGAUCUUCACCAGAUGUGGCCUCUUGACCUGAGACUUCUCAGCCUCCAUAACUGUUAAGUUUCCUGGAGAAUUCUGAAGGAUAUGCCCCCUUCCUCUCCUACAGCUCAGAGUUGUUCUGUGCACUUGGAUCAGCCUCCACAACUUCCCCCCGGGACAGGGCACCCAUCACCAUCUCCUACCUGGACAGCAGCAAACACUGCCCCCGUGACUUCCUGGUGCCAUCCUUGGCUCCAUUACGUCCAUUCUCCAGUGGCUGGCAGAGUGAGCUUGAAGAACGUGUGACAUGCCCUUCAGAAUGUUCUACUUCCUGUUCCAGAAGGACAGCCCCUCAUGCCUUCCCGCGGGCCACACGCCACCUCUUCCUCAGUGCCCCAGCCUGGCAUCCUCUUCCUGCAUUCAGCCUUCUUUUCCGAGGUGUCAUCUUGCUGGAGGGCAGAAGGAUUCCCUGGAACCUGGGGGCCAGCAGGACAGAGGAAACAGAAAGUACAUGACCGAUGAUGUCUUUCGACCACAGAAAGGGCUGGAAGAAGCAGGGGACCUACUGUUUGAAUAAACCCAGUGGAAAAACAGAAGCCCCAUUUCAUACUUGACUCAGCUCUUCAAGUUUAAAUCUUGAAUCUCCUCAACUACACGGAACAGUGUCUCUCCCAAGUCAUCUGACACCCACUCUGUUCUCUGGAUCAUUCCUUCCUAGAGAACGUUGCUCUUGGAGGGCUGUGAUCUGCUCUCACCCACUUGCCUUUCUGACCCACUGAGUGCAUCUCAACAGUCACUUGGGGUGAUCCGAUCUGACCAGGAAGGGUUGGGUGGCUCGUGGAGCUUGGGAAGCACUCUCACUGUGGCGGUCCCCAUUGGUGGUCAUGGGGUUGCCACAGUGAGCUACGUUUCUACCCUCAUCUCUCUAUAUGUUACCGUGGAAUCUCUGACUGAGGACCCAUGGGCUCACCCAAUGUGAUAAAGUCCUGAAGCUCAGCCGGGACGUCCGACCCCAGCUGCAGGACUUUCCAAUAGACAGAUGCAUAGAACUUGAGAAGAAAUCGACUUAGAAACCUGAAGUUGGAAAACUGGUUGCCUGACAUUCUGUGCAAGACUGAAUCUCUGAGAAAUGAAGGCUGUGUAACUUUGGGACCAUGUCUUUUCCAGCCUACAUAGACCCCCAGGAAACUUUGCAGUUGUUCCCCAAGUAUGGAUGGAGUCAAACUUGAUGUCCUUUCAUCCCCCCAUCCCAUCCACUAAUCCAUAUCCUUUGGAAAUUUUAGAGUGCCGGGCCUCAUGUAAAUACACCAAAAACAAUUUAAGUCAUUUAUGUUCUACUAAGCCAAGAGUUCUUUAGCGGUGGAAGAAGAUGGGGUCUUACACGAAUGGAAGGGUCUUGGCUAUUUGCGUCGGUAUCAACAGAAGGACUAGACGCUUGCACUAAAAGAAAAAGCUGAGGGAUGGGGGCAGGAAGCGGGAAGCUGGGACCCAAGCCCCACCUUCCUGAGUUGGAAGGUGACAGGUAGACUCCUGCUUGUUUGCCAGAGAGGCCUGGCAGAGGAGGUGCAUCCCAGCACAGAAGGGCAGCACAGAGGCAGCCUGAGAAGAUUCUGUCGCUGCCAGGUCACCAGGACCUCUGGACCACAGCUGGGUUGCGCUGUUUUCCAGUUUGUGAAACUAGGACUUUGGGGAACAUCCUGUGAAUUGGUGUCAUUUUGAUUUUCCUGGAGGAUUUUUGAGGUCAGCGUGACUGCUGUCACUAACUAAAAUAAAAUCCGAAGUCCCCAAGUGACUGAACAGACCCCCUCUUGGCCAAGGGGACCCCAGAGAAACCUGAAAGCUGAGCUCCCAGCCAUGAGGGGACGGGCGAUCGGACACGCUUCAUCACAGUCCCUCCCCUUUGUGGUUUAAACGACGAUGAUCGGCUGUCAUGCUAAAAUAGAGACACGAGACCGACAGCACAGACUCCUUAUGGCAAUAAGACACCAAAUUAUAAGCAGCACCUCAGGCCACGCCAGGUAAGGGUCGAGCCGCGCACUCUACACUUAGAGAACGGACUCUGCUCUCACACCACAGCGUCUUCUUUUUCUUCAGCAGCUAAACACGCACCGGCCCCGAGAUUCAAACGACUGCAGCUCAUCCACCUGCAGACGCUGGCUGACCCCGUUCCACAGCUGUGACUAUAGCUUUGAUUGGACAAGAGGUUGAUUUCAGUCUCCUGGUAAGAGACCACCAACCAUAGACCUGGUUCAGGCUGAUUAUAGAAGCUGCACACUUGUAUGCCUUCGAGUCCCUGCCUCACCUUUUGACGUGUAGGGACUCAUUGUAAUGCUUUUAAAUGUGAAGCCUCCACCCCAAAGUGAACAUGGGACGCAUGUAACGUGCAUGUUCAGUGGGCACGGCUCAGGACUCUCUUUGUGAAUAUUCAUAGCUCCUCCUGGAACCUGAAUAUGUAUGUUUGGCCAGCUCAAUUCAGCAUGAGGCUCCUGCUGCAACACCGCCUCCUUCCAGGUGCCUGCCAGCUGUUUCUGCCAGAGGCUGCGUCUCCCGGCCUGUCAGAAUGGCCACCCUGCAGGCUGUAAUCCUUUAGAAGAAAUAAAGAUCCCCUUUCCAGAUGUAUAGAUCUUGUGAUUUUUUUCCAUUCACAUCCUUGCAUCUUAUAAUGCCCUGUCUCCAUGGGGGUUACAUAGAAAGCCCUCAGCCUCUAGGGCAGAUGGAGCCAGGACUGAGGGUGGGGGUGGAGAAGGAUCAGGAGACUCACUUCAAGGACUUUCUGGUGCCGGCAGUGUAGGCUUGCCA
rnacentral:lncRNA from 1 species